rnacentral:rRNA from 1 species
GACGGGACCCGCACAAGCGGUGGAUGAUGUGGAUUAAUUCGAUGCAACGCGAAAACCUUACCUACCCUUGACAUGUCUGGAACCUUGCUGAGAGGCGAGGGUGCCUUCGGAGCCAGAACACAGGUGCUGCAUGGCUGUCGUCAGCUCGUGUCGUGAGAUGUUGGGUUAAGUCCCGCAACGAGCGCAACCCUUGUCAUUAGUUGCCAUCAUUUAGUUGGGCACUCUAAUGAGACUGCCGGUGACAAACCGGAGGAAGGUGGGGAUGACGUCAAGUCCUCAUGGCCCUUAUAGGUGGGGCUACACACGUCAUACAAUGGCCGGUACAAAGGGCAGCAAACCCGCGAGGGGGAGCCAAUCCAUCAAAGCCGGUCGUAGUCCGGAUCGCAGUCUGCAACUCGACUGCGUGAAGUCGGAAUCGCUAGUAAUCGUGGAUCAGCAUGUCACGGUGAAUACGUUCCCGGGUCUU